CGCGUGGUGAAUAAGGAAAGAGAUGGAGAAUAAUUGUUGGAACAUUUUUAACGCGUUGGAUUUAAUCUCUGCUCAGUGGGAUGUUUGCGCAGCUUCAUCAGUGAGGUUUUAUAGUGCUGGAGUCACAGAAUUCUGUGGGAAACAAAUCCACGUAUCUGCAAAACCACAGUAGGAAACGGGCACUUCACAGAACAACUGGAGUUGGGCUUUCCCUGGAUACUGCCAAAUGAGAUGGUGUUUUCCUUGUGAAGUUUCAGCAGCUCUCAGCCAGCACAAAGAAAAUGGGAUUGAGAGUGGCUCUCAAAGUCCUGCACAGUCCCAUGGGCUAGAAUUUUAAGAGAAGGACAACCCCCUCUGAAUUCUACUGCUGUCAAAGAUGUGGGAAUCACCAUUAUCCACUGAGGUAAGCAGCAGCAGCAGUACUUUCUAGGAUUAUGACCGUAACGUCUUUGUCAUGAUCUUUAGAUCCAGGGCUAUGGUGCUAAGGAGACUGAAGAUAUACAAGGAUUUUUGGUCUAAGUGGCAGUGACUGGAGGAGUAUGGGAUGUACAGUAUCAAAACAAGUAUAAUGCUUCUGCAGUGAGCACUGAGCAGAGAACUUCUUGCAAUACCCACAUCUCAAUUUCAGAAAGCUGACAGAAAUGGCAUGGUCAUGUCCCCACCGCUCUCGAAAACCUCUUAGACACAAUCCACGUUUCUAGGUGACUGCACCAGUGGGCAAUGUGUGUUCUGAAACUUAGGAUGUUUCAGUGUUUGCUCAGGGAUAUGGUUCAGUGGUGGACAGGUAUGGUUGGACUCAGUAAUCUCAACAGUCUUUUCCAACCAAAUGAUUCUAUGAUUCUAUGAUAUACAAAUGUUCUAGGAAGUAUGGAUCAGAUGGCAAGGUUAGAAAUUUUCCUCCUGUUCAUGGAUAGAGUUACUUUUGUGUCUUCCCAGUGUGUCUGCUACAGAAAAUGAGCCCUGUGAAAGUGGGGAAGAGACAGUGAAGGUCAUUUUAAGCUAUGUGUUCACUCCUG